rnacentral:rRNA from 1 species
UUCGCAAUGCCCGAAAGGGUGACGAAGCGACGCCGCGUGGGUGAGGAAGGCCCUCGGGUUGUAAAGCCCUGUCAGGAGUUAAGAAAUGUAGGUACGCUAAUAUCGUAUUUAUUUGACAAAGGCUCCAAAGGAAGCCACGGCUAACUCUGUGCCAGCAGCCGCGGUAAUACAGAGGUGGCAAGCGUUGUUCGGAAUUAUUGGGCGUAAAGAGCACGUAGGUGGAUUUGUAAGUCAGAUGUGAAAGCCUUCUGUUCAACGGGAGAAUUGCAUCUGAAACUGCGAGUCUUGAGUGUAGGAGGGGAGAAUGGAACUUCUGGUGGAGCGGUGAAAUGCGUAGAUAUCAGAAGGAACGCCGGCGGCGAAAGCGAUUCUCUGGCCUAUUACUGACACUCAGUGUGCGAAAGCUAGGGGAGCAAACGGGAUUAGAUACCCCGGUAGUCCUAGCCGUAAACGAUGGGCACUAAGUAGAGGGGUUUU